rnacentral:rRNA from 1 species
AUGGCCGGCCUGAGCUCCCCGCGCCUAGUCUCCUGCAUCGGCGGGCGCGACGCCCGCGACGGCUCCUACCAGCUCUUCCUCGAGUUCGCCCCUGGCGGCUCGCUGGCGGACCGGGUGGCGAUCGACGGGGGCCUCGACGAGCGUGCCGUCCGCGGAUACGCGGCCGACGUGGCGGCCGGGCUCGCGUACCUUCAGGGCGUCGGUAUGGUGCACGGGGACGUCAAGGCGCGCAACGUCGUGAUCGACGUCGACGGCCGAGCCCAGCUCGCAGAUUUUGGGUGCGCGAGAAAGGCGGGAGCCGGCGGCGGGUCGAUCAUCGGUGGCACGCCCGCGUUCAUGGCGCCGGAGGUGGCGCGCGGCGAGGAGCAAGGCACCGCGGCCGACGUCUGGGCGCUAGGCUGCAUGGUUGUCGAGAUGGCCACUGGACGCGCGCCCUGGAGCGGCAUGGACGGUGACGCGCUCGCGGCGCUGCACCGGAUCGGCUACACGGAGGCCGUGCCCGAGGUUCCCGAAUGGCUGUCCGCCGACGCGAAGGACUUCUUGGCCAGAUGCCUUGUCAGGCAGGCCAGCGGCCGGUGCACGGCGGCGCAGCUGCUGGAGCACCCGUUCUUGGCCUCCGCCGUGGUCGGCGCGAAGCCGCAAGCCGUGGAGAGCAAAUGGGUGUCGCCGAAGAGCGCGCUGGACGCCGCAUUAUGGGAAUCGGAGUCUGACACCGACGAGGCCGAGGAUGAGAUGUCGCACGGCACGGCCGAGAGGAGGAUCAGAGCACUGGCGUGCCCUGCGUCGGCGCUCCCGGACUGGGACUCCGAUGAGGGCUGGAUAGACGUGCUCUACGCGCCAACCGAAGCACCAGACGCAGCGACGGAGGAGACGAUCGACCUGGACGACGACGUGAUCAGAAACGAAGAACCAAGCGGCGCAGAGUCGGGCGUUCUCGCCAUUACCUUGGACGUGGAGUACAACGGCGACAACAGCGUCCUUAAUGGAGUAGAAGCCUACAACGAUUCAGUUAGGCAUCAACAGUCGUUGGUGUGUUUAGCUUCUCACGAACUAUCAUGUAAAUUGUUGCUUUGCAACAGGAAGACUAAUGCAAUUGAUUUCGUUCUUGCACAAGAAAUCAUAACCAUCUAUUGA